AUUGAACGCUGGCGGCAUGCUUUACACAUGCGAGUCGAACGGCAGCGCGGGCUUCGGCCUGGCGGCGAGUGGCGAACGGGUGAGUAAUACAUCGGAACGUGCCCAGUAGUGGGGGAUAGCUCGGCGAAAGCCGGAUUAAUACCGCAUACGACCUGAGGGUGAAAGCGGGGGAUCUUCGGACCUCGCGCUAUUGGAGCGGCCGAUGGCAGAUUAGCUAGUUGGUGGGGUAAAGGCCUACCAAGGCGACGAUCUGUAGCUGGCCUGAGAGGACGACCAGCCACACUGGGACUGAGACACGGCCCAGACUCCUACGGGAGGCAGCAGUGGGGAAUUUUGGACAAUGGGCGAAAGCCUGAUCCAGCAAUGCCGCGUGUGUGAUGAAGGCCUUCGGGUUGUAAAGCACUUUUGGCGGGAACGAAAAGGACUGUGCCAAUACCACGGUUCGAUGACGGUACCCGCAGAAUAAGCACCGGCUAACUACGUG
rnacentral:rRNA from 1 species